UACGUAGGGUGCAAGCGUUAAUCGGAAUUACUGGGCGUAAAGCGUGCGCAGGCGGUUAUGUAAGACAGGUGUGAAAUCCCCGGGCUCAACCUGGGAAUGGCAGUGGAUACUGGCAAGCUAGAGUGUGUCAGAGGAUGGUGGAAUUCCCGGUGUAGCGGUGAAAUGCGUAGAGAUCGGGAGGAACAUCAGUGGCGAAGGCGGGUGGGCUGGGCCGGCACUGACGCUGAGGAGCGAAAAGCGUGGGGAGCGAACAGG
rnacentral:rRNA from 1 species